rnacentral:rRNA from 1 species
GAUGAACGCUGGCGGCGUGCCUAAUACAUGCAAGUCGAGCGAACGGACGAGAAGCUUGCUUCUCUGAUGUUAGCGGCGGACGGGUGAGUAACACGUGGAUAACCUACCUAUAAGACUGGGAUAACUUCGGGACACCGGCGCUAAUACCGGAUAAUAUUUUGAACCGCAUUGUUCAAAAGUGAAAGACGGUCUUGCUGUCACUUAUAGAUGGAUCCGCGCUGCAUUAGCUAGUUGGUACGGUAACGGCUUACCAAGGCAACGAUGCAUAGCCGACCUGAGAGGGUGAUCGGCCACACUGGAACUGAGACACGGUCCAGACUCCUACGGGAGGCAGCAGUAGGGAAUCUUCCGCAAUGGGCGAAAGCCUGACGGAGCAACGCCGCGUGAGUGAUGAAGGUCUUCGGAUCGUAAAACUCUGUUAUUAGGGAAGAACAUAUGUGUAAGUAACUGUGCACAUCUUGACGGUACCUAAUCAGAAAGCCACGGCUAACUACGUG